GAGUAGGACGGAUGAUCGCGGCUGCAAUUUUGCAGGUGAGGAAAGUCCGGGCUUCACAGGGCAGGAUGCCGGAUAACGUCCGGUGGAGGUGACUCCAAGGCCAGUGCAACAGAAAUGUACCGCCUGCAUAUGCAGGUAAGGGUGGAAGGGCAGUGUAAGAGACUACCGCCCGGGCGGUAACGACCGGGGCAUAUGUAAACCCCAUCCGAAGCAAGACUUAAAAAAGCCGCAUAAGGUUGCCCGCCUUGGCUUUUGGUAUGUCGCUCGAGCCGUGCGGCAACGCACGGCCUAGAUAGAUGAUCAUCAGAUACAUAACCCGGCUUACGUUCCUGCUCAA
rnacentral:RNase_P_RNA from 1 species